rnacentral:rRNA from 1 species
AGAUACCCUGUUACUUAUAGUUAAAAAAUUUUGGAGAAGUAGUAAUAAUGAAAUUUAACGGAUUUGGCGGCAAGAUAGCCAUUCAGAGGAACCUGCCCUGUAAACGAUGAACCACGAAAUACCCUACUUUUACUUGUUAACAGUUUGUAUACCGCUGUUGUCAGUCAGUUUUUUUAGAAAACUUUCUAUUAUGAUAUAGCCAUAAACUUCAAGUAAAGGUGCAGCUUAUGUAAAAGAUAGAGGUGGGUUACAUUUAUAGAAUAAAACGAAUAAAGAUUUUGAAAUACUUUUGAAGUUGGAUUUGAUUGUAAAGUUCAAGAAAACU